CCAUGGGUGGCUCAGUGGUAGAUUUCUCGCCUUUGAUGCAGAAGACCUGGGUUUGAUUCCCGGUCCAUGCA
rnacentral:tRNA from 1 species